rnacentral:rRNA from 1 species
UUAAGCGACUAAGCGUACACGGUGGAUGCCCUGGCAGUCAGAGGCGAUGAAGGACGUGCUAAUCUGCGAUAAGCGUCGGUAAGGUGAUAUGAACCGUUAUAACCGGCGAUUUCCGAAUGGGGAAACCCAGUGUGUUUCGACACACUAUCAUUAACUGAAUCCAUAGGUUAAUGAGGCGAACCGGGGGAACUGAAACAUCUAAGUACCCCGAGGAAAAGAAAUCAACCGAGAUUCCCCCAGUAGCGGCGAGCGAACGGGGAGCAGCCCAGAGCCUGAAUCAGUGUGUGUGUUAGUGGAAGCGUCUGGAAAGGCGCGCGAUACAGGGUGACAGCCCCGUACACAAAAAUGCACAUGCUGUGAGCUCGAUGAGUAGGGCGGGACACGUGGUAUCCUGUCUGAAUAUGGGGGGACCAUCCUCCAAGGCUAAAUACUCCUGACUGACCGAUAGUGAACCAGUACCGUGAGGGAAAGGCGAAAAGAACCCCGGCGAGGGGAGUGAAAAAGAACCUGAAACCGUGUACGUACAAGCAGUGGGAGCACGCUUAGGCGUGUGACUGCGUACCUUUUGUAUAAUGGGUCAGCGACUUAUAUUCUGUAGCAAGGUUAACCGAAUAGGGGAGCCGAAGGGAAACCGAGUCUUAACUGGGCGUUAAGUUGCAGGGUAUAGACCCGAAACCCGGUGAUCUAGCCAUGGGCAGGUUGAAGGUUGGGUAACACUAACUGGAGGACCGAACCGACUAAUGUUGAAAAAUUAGCGGAUGACUUGUGGCUGGGGGUGAAAGGCCAAUCAAACCGGGAGAUAGCUGGUUCUCCCCGAAAGCUAUUUAGGUAGCGCCUCGUGAAUUCAUCUCCGGGGGUAGAGCACUGUUUCGGCAAGGGGGUCAUCCCGACUUACCAACCCGAUGCAAACUGCGAAUACCGGAGAAUGUUAUCACGGGAGACACACGGCGGGUGCUAACGUCCGUCGUGAAGAGGGAAACAACCCAGACCGCCAGCUAAGGUCCCAAAGUCAUGGUUAAGUGGGAAACGAUGUGGGAAGGCCCAGACAGCCAGGAUGUUGGCUUAGAAGCAGCCAUCAUUUAAAGAAAGCGUAAUAGCUCACUGGUCGAGUCGGCCUGCGCGGAAGAUGUAACGGGGCUAAACCAUGCACCGAAGCUGCGGCAGCGACACUAUGUGUUGUUGGGUAGGGGAGCGUUCUGUAAGCCUGUGAAGGUGUGCUGUGAGGCAUGCUGGAGGUAUCAGAAGUGCGAAUGCUGACAUAAGUAACGAUAAAGCGGGUGAAAAGCCCGCUCGCCGGAAGACCAAGGGUUCCUGUCCAACGUUAAUCGGGGCAGGGUGAGUCGACCCCUAAGGCGAGGCCGAAAGGCGUAGUCGAUGGGAAACAGGUUAAUAUUCCUGUACUUGGUGUUACUGCGAAGGGGGGACGGAGAAGGCUAUGUUGGCCGGGCGACGGUUGUCCCGGUUUAAGCGUGUAGGCUGGUUUUCCAGGCAAAUCCGGAAAAUCAAGGCUGAGGCGUGAUGACGAGGCACUACGGUGCUGAAGCAACAAAUGCCCUGCUUCCAGGAAAAGCCUCUAAGCAUCAGGUAACAUCAAAUCGUACCCCAAACCGACACAGGUGGUCAGGUAGAGAAUACCAAGGCGCUUGAGAGAACUCGGGUGAAGGAACUAGGCAAAAUGGUGCCGUAACUUCGGGAGAAGGCACGCUGAUAUGUAGGUGAAGUCCCUCGCGGAUGGAGCUGAAAUCAGUCGAAGAUACCAGCUGGCUGCAACUGUUUAUUAAAAACACAGCACUGUGCAAACACGAAAGUGGACGUAUACGGUGUGACGCCUGCCCGGUGCCGGAAGGUUAAUUGAUGGGGUNNNNNGCGAAGCUCUUGAUCGAAGCCCCGGUAAACGGCGGCCGUAACUAUAACGGUCCUAAGGUAGCGAAAUUCCUUGUCGGGUAAGUUCCGACCUGCACGAAUGGCGUAAUGAUGGCCAGGCUGUCUCCACCCGAGACUCAGUGAAAUUGAACUCGCUGUGAAGAUGCAGUGUACCCGCGGCAAGACGGAAAGACCCCGUGAACCUUUACUAUAGCUUGACACUGAACAUUGAGCCUUGAUGUGUAGGAUAGGUGGGAGGCUUUGAAGUGUGGACGCCAGUCUGCAUGGAGCCGACCUUGAAAUACCACCCUUUAAUGUUUGAUGUUCUAACGUUGACCCGUAAUCCGGGUUGCGGACAGUGUCUGGUGGGUAGUUUGACUGGGGCGGUCUCCUCCUAAAGAGUAACGGAGGAGCACGAAGGUUGGCUAAUCCUGGUCGGACAUCAGGAGGUUAGUGCAAUGGCAUAAGCCAGCUUGACUGCGAGCGUGACGGCGCGAGCAGGUGCGAAAGCAGGUCAUAGUGAUCCGGUGGUUCUGAAUGGAAGGGCCAUCGCUCAACGGAUAAAAGGUACUCCGGGGAUAACAGGCUGAUACCGCCCAAGAGUUCAUAUCGACGGCGGUGUUUGGCACCUCGAUGUCGGCUCAUCACAUCCUGGGGCUGAAGUAGGUCCCAAGGGUAUGGCUGUUCGCCAUUUAAAGUGGUACGCGAGCUGGGUUUAGAACGUCGUGAGACAGUUCGGUCCCUAUCUGCCGUGGGCGCUGGAGAACUGAGGGGGGCUGCUCCUAGUACGAGAGGACCGGAGUGGACGCAUCACUGGUGUUCGGGUUGUCAUGCCAAUGGCACUGCCCGGUAGCUAAAUGCGGAAGAGAUAAGUGCUGAAAGCAUCUAAGCACGAAACUUGCCCCGAGAUGAGUUCUCCCUGACUCCUUGAGAGUCCUGAAGGAACGUUGAAGACGACGACGUUGAUAGGCCGGGUGUGUAAGCGCAGCGAUGCGUUGAGCUAACCGGUACUAAUGAACCGUGAGGCUUAACCUU